UAACACUGGGUAACCUGCCUUAUGAGGGGGAGUAACAGAGAGAAAUCACUGCUAAUACCGCAUAAGCACACAGUACCGCAUGGUACAGGGUGAAAAGAUUUAUCGCCAUAAGAUGGACCCGCGUCUGAUUAGCCAGUUGGCAGGAUAAAAGCCUACCAAAGCAACGAUCAGUAGCCGAUCUGAGAGGAUGACCGGCCACAUUGGGACUGAGACACGGCCCAA
rnacentral:rRNA from 1 species